rnacentral:rRNA from 1 species
AACGAACGCUGGCGGCAGGCCUAACACAUGCAAGUCGAACGCUGUAGCAAUACAGAGUGGCAGACGGGUGAGUAACACGUGGGAAUCUUCCUAUCGGUACGGAAUAGCUCAGGGAAACUUGGGGUAAUACCGCAUACGCCCUUCGGGGGAAAGAUUUAUCGCCGAUAGAUGAGCCCGCGUCUGAUUAGCUAGUUGGUGAGGUAAUGGCUCACCAAGGCGACGAUCAGUAGCUGGUCUGAGAGGAUGACCAGCCACACUGGGACUGAGACACGGCCCAGACUCCUACGGGAGGCAGCAGUGGGGAAUAUUGGACAAUGGGCGAAAGCCUGAUCCAGCCAUGCCGCGUGAGUGACGAAGGUCUUCGGAUUGUAAAGCUCUUUUGGCGGGGACGAUAAUGACGGUACCCGCAGAAUAAGCCCCGGCUAACUUCGUGCCAGCCGCCGCCGUAAGAC